GAUGAACGCUGGCGGCGUGCUUAACACAUGCAAGUCGAACGAAGCACUUUAUUUGAUUUCCUUCGGGACUGAUUAUUUUGUGACUGAGUGGCGGACGGGUGAGUAACGCGUGGGUAACCUGCCUUGUACAGGGGGAUAACGGUUGGAAACGGCUGCUAAUACCGCAUAAGCGCACAGCAUCGCAUGAUGCAGUGUGAAAAACUCCGGUGGUAUAAGAUGGACCCGCGUUGGAUUAGCUAGUUGGUGAGGUAACGGCCCACCAAGGCGACGAUCCAUAGCCGACCUGAGAGGGUGACCGGCCACAGUGGGACUGAGACACGGCCCAAACUCCUACGGGAGGCAGCAGUGGGGAAUAUUGCACAAUGGGCGAAAGCCUGAUGCAGCGACGCCGCGUGAGCGAAGAAGUAUUUCGGUAUGUAAAGCUCUAUCAGCAGGGAAGAUAAUGACGGUACCUGACGAAGAAGCACCGGCUAAAUACGUG
rnacentral:rRNA from 1 species